GUUGAAUAGCCUUUUCUAAAUCCUGAUUGAUUUUCAUUUAACAAUAAGUAAUUUUCCAAAAAAGUGGAUAGUCUUGAAUUUAGAACUGAGGUAAAUAGCUUUCCCAUGCAGCUAAGAAUUGUGAUAGGUCUAUAAUUUUCUGGUUUUUUUGUAUCACCUUUAUUUUUAUAAAAAGGAAUAAUGUUACCAACUAACCAUGCUUCUGGAAUUUUACCG
rnacentral:lncRNA from 1 species